rnacentral:lncRNA from 1 species
GAUUUUUUAAAACAGGAACUGAACGGCAAAACAACUGGCACGGGCAGCUUAUUUGUGCCUAAAUACACUUAUAGUGAAGAGAUUGAACACAACAAUCAACAAUAAUUUUAUUAAUUACAAGCACUUGUAUACUUAACUUGUGUACACAUACUAUCACUCAUAAGAGAUGACUCUCUCACUCACAAAAGGUAGUAUACUCAUAAUUUAAGAAAACACUUUAACUUUAGACACUAACUCUUUAGUACUUUGGACACCACACACUUGAAUUCUCACUCUCUUACUUGGAGUACUUGGACACUCUUCAUUUAUUUUUU